rnacentral:rRNA from 1 species
CUGUAAGCCUGUGAAGGUGUACUGUGAGGUAUGCUGGAGGUAUCAGAAGUGCGAAUGCUGACAUAAGUAACGAUAAAGCGGGUGAAAAGCCCGCUCGCCGGAAGACCAAGGGUUCCUGUCCAACGUUAAUCGGGGCAGGGUGAGUCGACCCCUAAGGCGAGGCCGAAAGGCGUAGUCGAUGGGAAACAGGUUAAUAUUCCUGUACUUGGUGUUACUGCGAAGGGGGGACGGAGAAGGCUAUGUUGGCCGGGCGACGGUUGUCCCGGUUUAAGCGUGUAGGCUGGUUUUCCAGGCAAAUCCGGAAAAUCAAGGCUGAGGCGUGAUGACGAGGCACUACGGUGCUGAAGCAACAAAUGCCCUGCUUCCAGGAAAAG